UACGGAGGAUGCGAGCGUUAUCCGGAUUCAUUGGGUUUAAAGGGUGCGUAGGCGGCUUGUUAAGUCAGUGGUGAAAUCCUGCCGCUUAACGGUAGAAUUGCCAUUGAUACUGACAGGCUUGAAUGUAGUUGAGGUAGGCGGAAUGAGUAGUGUAGCGGUGAAAUGCUUAGAUAUUACUCAGAACACCGAUUGCGAAGGCAGCUUACCAAGUUACAAUUGACGCUGAGGCACGAAAGCGUGGGGAUCGAACAGG
rnacentral:rRNA from 1 species